rnacentral:rRNA from 1 species
UAAGUAGGUAGUGAAAUGACGGGGGCUCAACCCCGUGUCCAUUACCUAAACUGCUAAGCUAGAGUAUGAGAGAGGUAACUGGAAUUUCUAGUGUAGGAGUGAAAUCCGUAGAUAUUAGAAGGAACACCGAUGGCGUAGGCAGGUUACUGGCUCAUUACUGACGCUCAGGCACGAAAGCGUGGGGAGCGACCGGGAUUAGAUACCCCGUUAGUCCACGCCGUAAACGAUGGAUGCUA